rnacentral:rRNA from 1 species
UGGGGAAUAUUGCACAAUGGGCGCAAGCCUGAUGCAGCCAUGCCGCGUGUGUGAAGAAGGCCUUCGGGUUGUAAAGCACUUUCAGCGGGGAGGAAGGGAGUAAAGUUAAUACCUUUGCUCAUUGACGUUACCCGCAGAAGAAGCACCGGCUAACUCCGUGCCAGCAGCCGCGGUAAUACGGAGGGUGCAAGCGUUAAUCGGAAUUACUGGGCGUAAAGCGCACGCAGGCGGUUUGUUAAGUCAGAUGUGAAAUCCUCGGGCUCAACCUGGGAACUGCAUCGGAUACUGGCAAGCUUGAGUCUCGUAGAGGGGGGUAGAAUUCCAGGUGUAGCGGUGAAAUGCGUAGAGAUCUGGAGGAAUACCGGUGGCGAAGGCGGCCCCCUGGACGAAGACUGACGCUCAGGUGCGAAAGCGUGGGGAGCAAACAGG